AACCUUUUUCAUAUGUUUUAUCAUAUCUUUUUGUUUUGGAUAAUUUAUUUCUUAUCUUUUUUUCUUUUAUUUCCGUUCUCGUAUUUAUAUCAUUUCCGUUGUGUGGUUUCAAUUAAGCACUCAUUAAUGGCGUUCAUUGUGCAUACAAAAGCUUUUAAUUGUCAUCAUAAUCAACCUUAUAAUAGUGCUUUGAUGGUUUCUUUUUAUACUUUUACCAGUGCAACAAGUUAAAUGGACAGUUCUGUUGGAGAUGUCAAGAUGGGUAUGGUUAUGUGUACUGUUUCCAUCUUCAACUUGGCCUCCUCUCACCCAGCAAGAGAGUGACCUCAACUAAUUACUCAGUCUUUGGAGGAUACUCAUUAAAAAGCCUCUAAAUGGACUCCUCCCAAAAAUGCACUUUCUUCAUCUCUUGACUGAUACUAUCAGCUGAUAUACUAAUGUGAAUGUGAAUUAUUCAGGAGUGAAAAAAAGCGUAACUAACGAGACAUUGAUGGCCUCGCGCGAAUCAUCUCAAAGUAGACGUAUAAUUGUUGAAGAAGACAACCAAGUACAGCACAGUUAAUCCAUCGUGGUCACCAAACUUAGCUCUAUCUUCAUUAACCCUUGACGUUUACACAUUUCACUGUAAAAUUCACUUAAAACCUCAUCAACAACAUCGUAUUAGUAAUGUUUAGUGCUUGCGUUUAUGAUGUUGAUGAUGAUGGUGUUGCAGCUACCAUUAUCUUAUUAUCUUUUUCAUUUAUGAUGGAUUUAUCUUGAUUUAAUUUCAUGAACAUUAGCCAUUAUUGUUGCUAUUUAAUGAUGUUAUCCCAUUAUGUUAGCAAGAAAAGGAUUCAAAGCCACAACCCAACAACAAAAAUUAAGCUAAUGCUCAACCAUUUUGUUCCUACCUGUUGAACAGCCAACUGAGUGUUUAGAUUAGUUUAAUGUGGGAUGAAUUAGGGAGACAUCCAUUGUAAAUCUUCCAACUCAUCAUCUUCGACCAAAGUAUCGAAAGCACAACUCCUGAGAUCAUCAGAUUCUAGAACAAUAUUGAAAUUUUCACCAUGAUCUCUGGCUGUCUUCACCUUAAAACUGAGCUUACGAUUUAAUGGUUCUCUAGGUCUCUUUGGUGAAGGUUGAGCUUUAUCAGAUGGCCUUUUAUCUGGUUGUAAUGUGAACUUGCUCAAAAAUGAAACAGGGAACGGACUGAGUGCUCUUUCUUUACCAGAUGGAGUUUACCAUCAUUUACCUGAAGAGAUUUACGUUCAAGAAUACAAUUUUUUCUUCUUUCUAUCUCAACCUUCAUUUGGUAAAUUUGGCAGAUUCUUAUAUCAUCUUUAUUUAUUCAUUAUAUGGACAAUUUAUUAUCAUAAAACAUAGAUUUUUCCUUUAUAGCUUCUACUCUCACCUUCCCUAUCCUCUUGAUUAUUAUAUAAUGUUAUUCAAUUGAGCUGACAACUGAUUAUUAUCAUUACCCAACCAAUAUCAUUAAUAUUAUUAUUAUCAUUAUUAUAAUUAUAAUUUUUAUAUUUAUUUACUGUGAAUUUAACUGACAGUAGGUGGGUUAACAUUAGUGUUUGUUAUAAUUGUCAGCCAUUGAGGUUUACAUUAAUGGCUCAACUAUUUCAAUACUAUAAAAUAGUGAAGCGUAUGCAUCUCUGUAUGUUUAAUGUCUGUCUUUUACCUUCUUAUUUUUAUAAUUAACAGUCUUUUGCUCUUGAUUAAUUUAAUCAUAUAAAUCAAAUACUUAACUGGCCUGACAUCACUUGUUAAUGUCAAGUUGCGCUGAAAAUUAAGAUUUUAACCGGAAAAAAUAGGAGGUUUGCUUGUUUAACAGUUUACUGUUCAAGCCUGAGAAAAGUAGAAAACUGAAAAUUGUUAAUUAACUUUAAAUUAUUAUUAUGAGUAUUAUUAUUAUCAUCAUUUUUAUUAGCUUUAGGUAAGCUUAAACUGUACGUUAAUGUAACCAUCAACAUGUUUUAACAAUUUAUUUACAUCAACCCGUAUAAAUUAAUAAUUUAACUAUAAAAUUCAAAAAGCGCACCAUUUAAUGGCGUCUCAAACUGGCAACCAAUCUCUAAAGGAGUAAAUCAGCUGUUAAUCCAUUCUCUUGUGAUUUGCAUUUCAACUUUUAAUUCAAUUUUGAUUAGUUUUUUCUUCUAAAUUCACUAAUUAAUAGUUAACCACGCAUUGUUUUUUUAAUUGUUCAAUUUAAAAUAUUUGAAAUUGUUUCAAGUUCAAAUCAGUUCAUGUUAUGUCAGCAAAAAAAGUACAUUUAUUUAAUGAUUUCUGAUUUAUUGAGGUAACGAUUUUGUUCUUGCUUUUGGUCAGCCUAGCAAAGUAAAUUAUUAACCAUCAAAAGUGUCAUGAUUAAGUAAUUGUUCAGAUCAUUUGUUUUAUUCAAUUUAUCCUCACCAGUGAGGCUGGAUCAGCUUACAACUGACACAUGGAAUGGUAUUUUAUCCUUUUUUCAAGAAAAAUGGAGAUGAUGAGAGGUGCCAAUCCACCAAACCGUAAUCAGCCUUCUAAGUGGAAAGGGCAUCUUAAAAUGUUUACCUGAUUAUUACCCAUGUCUAUGUGAUAUAACAGCUUCUUUAACGCCUUCGCUUGCGUUUAACACGCAACAUACACUCACACUCACUCACACACACACACAAGUUUCAACUCAAGGUUAAGCAGCAUCAUCAUCAUUAUUAUUUUGACCCAACCUUUAGCUCUAAUGAUUAAUGAAGACGUAAAAGUAAAUAUCAAUAAUGUAUCAAGAAGCAAAGGAAAAGGUUGGAUGGAAAAUCAAAAGCCUCUUCAGAUUGAACAAACAACAAUAUCCAAUGUGUGCUGCUGCCAACAAAAGCGAGGUGGAAGAGGGAUAAAAAAAUAUUUACAUUGAAGAGUGUUAAACAGUAAAUACGAGGUUACUCUUUAAUCGGUUUAAGUGGGUCAAUUCAAUGAUUAAACUAAAGCGCGAAAGGACGGAGCUGAAUCUUACCUCUACACACAACGAUAUCAUAAAGUGGGAAAAAGCGAAAAGCGAGUCUCAAAUAUGGUUGAUAUUUUUUUAUUUUCCUCUCCUUCUUUCACUGUGUUCAUCUAAAUUAUUGGAUAGGCGAUACUUAUAACAACAUCCAUUCAAGUGGCGAUUACCAUUAAACGUGCUGACGAGUUGUGUGGAGUAAGAAAAGAGCAGUUGUAAAAAAAAGAUCAAUUGUAAAACGUAAAGGUAUCAACAGCAAGCAAGAAAAAAAAUAAAAGAAAGAAAAGGAGAAAGGCAAAGGCAAGCGUAAAGGCAAUCGCAAAGGCAAAGAUGAAAAGAUGAAGAUCUGAACCAUUGAAGGUUCGCAAAAAAACCUCCAAGAAGCUUAAGCAUACUCUAAAAGUAAAAGAGUAAUCCCAUUCUGUGUCAGCAUAAAGAUGAUUAUUAUUGUUGUAUUUACAAUAGGCCACCAUUGAUACAUCCUUUUGGUUAUUAUUUUUUUAUUAUCUUAAUCAAACUCAAUCUUUGAUGGAACAAGCAAGGAAAAGAAAUGGAAAGAAAAGCAAAAGGAACCAAAAAAUUUAAAACCAAUUGAAAUGUGUCGUUUUUUGUCCUCUCUGUACAUGUUUAAUGUGAACAUAUCUAUCAGUUUAUACGUCCAUGUUUUGUAUUUAAUGUCAAUUGCCAAUUUUCAUUUGACCUAAGGUAUCUUAUCACCAUCUUUAUUAUUAUUUAGAUUAGAUUAGAUUAUUAUUAUGAUUAUUAUUGCUACUAUUGACACUUACAAUCUACUAUUACGCUUAGUAAGCCUCAAAUGAGCUUCUAUUUUCCCUUUGCUUCAUCCAAUUGCCUUACAAUAAGCUCAAAAUCCUAUGAAAAAAACUCCCAAUGAAUAUAUUAAUAAUAAUAAUAAUAAUGAUUAGUUGAGAAAAUAAUUUCAACUUGUAACACAAAUAAUAAUAACAAAUUGUAUUGAAAUGCAUCUCUCUCCUACUCUAAAGGAUCUUCAUCUUCAUCUUCCUUCCUCUUCCUUUUCAUUCUCAUCUCUCUAUCCAAUUCACAUCCAUUAUGUUGAUGAUGAUGAUGACCAAAAAUAAUGUAACUUUUAAAAGGGAAUUAAAAUGGCAUUUUUUUGUACCAAACAGCAA